rnacentral:rRNA from 1 species
GGUGAACGCUGGCGGCGUGCUUAACACAUGCAAGUCGAGCGAGAAAAGUUCUUCGGAGCUUUUCUAGCGGCGGACGGGUGAGUAACACGUGGGCAACCUGCCUCAUAGAGGGGAAUAGCCUUCCGAAAGGAAGAUUAAUACCGCAUAACAUUGUUGAAAGGCAUCUUUUAACAAUCAAAGGAGCAAUCCGCUAUGAGAUGGGCCUGCGGCGCAUUAGCUAGUUGGUGAGGUAACGGCUCACCAAGGCGACGAUGCGUAGCCGACCUGAGAGGGUGAUCGGCCACAUUGGAACUGAGACACGGUCCAGACUCCUACGGGAGGCAGCAGUGGGGAAUAUUGCACAAUGGGGGAAACCCUGAUGCAGCAACGCCGCGUGAGUGAUGAAGGUCUUCGGAUUGUAAAGCUCUGUCUUUAGGGACGAUAAUGACGGUACCUAAGGAGGAAGCCACGGCUAACUACGUGCCAGCAGCCGCAGUAACAC